GACAGUAACAGCAGUAAACAGCUUCUAAGUUUGUCUGUUUUUAUUGCUAUCAUCGACCAGCUUUUACAGUAUGUAAACCACAGACCGCAGCUCUGAUGAUUCUGUUGUUUAAGCUAAUCACCCGCACAACAACUCCCAAGAAACCAUGGUGCAGACAUUUUUUUGACAUCAACCUCUCUACAGGCCACCAACAAAAAGAGGAACUGAAUAUCCAAUACUCUGCCUCUCGCCUGUUGGCUGAUGUGAUAGGCGCCUCACAACGCUAAACAAGCUCACCCACCACCCCAGCAUCUCCCUGUGGGCUCUGAGUAUUCAAGCAACAUCUAAACUCCACUGCCUAUGUGAAGGAUCCAAAGCAUACCAACAAACUAUGUACAAGACCAUCAAGCCAUCAAUAGUAGCUUGGAUAACUGGGACAAGGCAUGACUGAUCCAAGUUUUCGUGUUUUCUUAUAAAUCAACAUGUUGCAGCUGAAAUCAAAACCAGGGAAUGUUUGUUUUCUGUUAUUUCGUUCAAUUUUGGUGAACCUGUGCAAAAUGGAGGCUCCAUUUGUUAUUCAUAGCUGACAGGCGUGGCAUCUGAUUUGGUCUUCUGCAGCCUAUCUACUGUAUUAUUUGAUAUACACUGCUUGGUUGUGAUGAGUGAUUAUAUGAGCAAUAGUUGUCAUUCUAUAACUAGCAACUGGU